rnacentral:tRNA from 3 species
CGGCGGGCCGGCCGGGCGGGACGCGGCCCUGCGCCGACGGCGCGGCGGCAGGGUGUCGCUGGGGGUGUUCGACUCGGUGUCCGUCGA